rnacentral:rRNA from 1 species
GACGAACGCUGGCGGCGUGCUUAACACAUGCAAGUCGAACGGAAAGGCCCUGCUUUUGUGGGGUGCUCGAGUGGCGAACGGGUGAGUAACACGUGAGUAACCUGCCCUUGACUUUGGGAUAACUUCAGGAAACUGGGGCUAAUACCGGAUAGGAGCUCCUGCUGCAUGGUGGGGGUUGGAAAGUUUCGGCGGUUGGGGAUGGACUCGCGGCUUAUCAGCUUGUUGGUGGGGUAGUGGCUUACCAAGGCUUUGACGGGUAGCCGGCCUGAGAGGGUGACCGGCGACAAUGGGACUGAGGUACGGAGCAGAAUCGUACGGGAGGCAGCAGGCGGGAAUAUUGCACAAUGGGCGGAAGCGUGAUGCAGCAACGCCGCGUGCGGGAUGACGGCCUUCGGGUUGUGAACCGCUUUCGCCUGUGACGAAGCGUGAGUGACGGUAAUGGGUAAAGAAGCACCGGCUAACUACGUG